CCUCAUUUAAGGGCUGACUGCCUUGCUUCCUUGGUAGGAGUUUUUCCUUGGGAGCCUGAGAUCUUCUGAUCUGGAUUACAUUUCAGCUUGAUAAGCCCUCUAUUCCCAGUCCCAGCAUGACUGUGCACAGUGACACAACGGAAGGGGUGCUGUAAGUGAAACAUGGCGUCUCCUCACAAAGUGGCAAAACCGAAGGGACAGGAUGCAGCAACAUGAAGUCAGGACAAACAGCAGGGGGAUGCUGGGAGUUCCUGCAGUUGGCAACAUCUGCAUGGGGAACGGCAGCCUUGGAUUUCUGGUGAGCCCAUGAAGUAAUUUAUGUGACGACUUGGACAGUAAUUCAACACAAAUGAAGUUGUAGGUGUGACGAUGUUUUGAAUCAAAACAAACCAGUUCAAAAUUUAAAUCAAUAACAAGCGCUUAAAGCUAUAAUUCAGGAGAGGAGUACUACUGGCAUAAUGGUCUGAGUUUUUGAAAUGCAGAUCAGCAAACCUCUUUAAAGGGCAUUUGUUGGGCUUCCUGUGCAAUUAUAUGUGGCUCUUGAGAUGGAGCUUUAAUGUAAAAUGUGUAUCAGCAUAUUCUUAACUGUAGGUAUGCAAAUUGCUCAUUAAAGUCUUGCUCACCUCCGUGGCUGAAAUGAGACACAGGAUGGAGUUUCACAAUGCUUUGAGCUGACAUAACCCAGCACUGCUGUCAAAACAGUGCAAGGAUGCAGUUAGAUGGUCCGGCUGAGUCAAGCUAACAGGUCACUGCUGCUGAAAGUAGCUGGCACUUCUAUGUGUCCCUGUGACCUGCCUCCCUGCUGCUGGCUGUAUGCUCCCCUUACUCUUCUUGCACUUGACUCUGUUAAUUCUUCUGAUCCUUCAGCAGACCACUUCUGCAUCUGUACAGUUAAACCAGGACAACAGUUAAAAAGCGGUUUAAUGAUCUGUCCUGGCUCUCUGCAAGGUCAUUUGGGCACAAGGAAGAAGGGCCUGGCUGCUCAUUGGUACACAGAUCUAGAGAAGAAGGAGGGUGUGGAUCUGAUGUUUUUGGCAGCAGCAAGCCUUUAGGUUGGCUUAGCUGCAUCUUCUAGCUGCACCCAGAGCUAACCCUGCUGCAGACCCACCUGGCUUUUUUUUGUUUGUUUCUCCACCACCUCCCUCCUUCUACCAGCACUUGCACAGCCAGUUGAUGAUCUGUUUAGGGGGUCAAAGCCAACAAAAACAGUUUAGCUUUAACCAAGAUCAGCAUUACAGAUGAGUGCAAAGGGGACAGAAAAGAGGUGGGUGUGGGUGUGCAGGGAACGACCAGUUUUUGGUUUGUUUUUUACUGGUGGCAGUGACUGCAUAAGGUAUUAGUGAAACUACAUCCCUGGAGGCCUGGUGCUGUGGUUGAACCCUAGAAAAUGAGAGGUACCGAGUUUCCAGAGGGUAUUUGCAUGAAGCUCAGAGAGGAAAGGCGGUGGAUUUCUCUGUUUCACAUUUUGUUCACUGACUUCUUCCAAAGGGUAACUUGACUCAGUUGUUCAUCUCAGGCAAUUCUGUAUUUCUGCUCCUAAUAAAGUCUCUCUGUGAUUUAGUAUGGAGUGUGUAAAUGAAUCACUUGUCAAGCAAGAAAAAAAAUACACUGGCUUUGGCUUUCUGAAAUGCAUCUAACCUGUCUGGUUGCUAGAUAAGUUUUAAAACGUAAUAACUUAUUACUGCUGAGACAAACACAAUAUGAUGCCAAAAGCUAAACUGGAUUCACUGUAGAUUUUGCAUUUGUAAAUUCCAGUUACCCAGGCUGUCUGUUUUCAGUUCCAAAUCAUCACAAAACAACCAGAUUUAACUGCUCAAAAAAUGUUGGAUUUACUUGAAAGAACUUUGUAGAUAUUAAGAGGUUGCUGGAUGUGUUUAAACAUUGGCUGUAACAGCUGAAGUUUCAAAGCUUGAAGUUUUGAUUACAUGGGGCUAAUGAGUGCAGAGGAAAAAAUGGAAAAUCUGGAUUGAUGAUGUGAAUGUAGCCCAUGCAUCGUCUUGAGAGCUGACUGCAUAAUUGCACU